ACGCCCAAGCCACUAGCUGCCACACUCCCACUGGACUCAUGUGACCCAGGGGUAAGCGUCACAGCAGGCAGCCUUCCUGCCCUCUUCCUUCUCUGCAGGGGUGGAGGCGACCCGUGCUGAUUGCACCACACUAGCUAUCACACAGGGCACCCCCAGUUCCACCAGCAGACUGGCAGGGAAGUAGGUGGAUUCGUGCCUGCAACUUCAGCCCUCGGGCUACCCCUCGCUUCCCUCUGCCCCAACCUGGCAGCCACCCAGGCCAGUGCACGUCCAGUCUAGACUGGAAAAUGGGUGCUUGGCAUCUCAGGGCCUGUGGUACAGAACUGGGGAAGGAGGCCUGCUGUUCUUCGCCGCCAAACACAUCGUCACCUCCAGUAAAGAUCUGAACGGAUGUCCUUACCUUCCGCUUUCAGCUGCUUUCAGCUGCUGUGAAGCCCAGGCCGAGGUAGCAGAAGAGGAUCCCGCAGGCCACUGCCUGUCCUCCGGCGGCAGCUUAUAGCAGCGUUUAGUUCGCAGCUGCCCACGCCCCCGCGCCCCUAUAUCCCGCGCUGCCCGAGGUAAGGUCGGGGGAAGCCUGGCUACCACCUCCUCCUCCGUCUGCGCCUACGGGUCCCGGGGCGCCCUGGGGGCACCGCUCCCUGCUGGGACCCCUUCCGGUCCAGGAACGUCUCCUGCACCGCGCGAACCACCUGUCCCUCCUGCACUCCAGGCAACCAGUUUGCUUCCUGCACUCCUGGACGCCCCUCUCCUUCAGGCCCCCACGGCCCCACCAGCCGGGCCCUACCCAAGACCUCCGGGCGCCGCGCCGGGGGCUCCCCCAAGACCACUGCCUCGCGCCCCAGUACUAGGCAGGCAGAUGGUCUCGGGUCCAUACGAAGAGGGUUCUUUCUCUGGUGUUGGCCAGCACUGUGCCCCUAGGCCACAGCCAAAGGACAGCAUGGCCACCAGGAAGAGGGUGAGUUCCAGACUCAUGCACAGGGCCAAUCUGGGUGGCUUUGGAUGGGGUCCUUGUUCUGUGAGGAACUUUGCUGUGCCUCAGCCAGGGACUUCCUGUUGGAGUUUGAAUCUGGUUGUCCCCCCAAGCCCUCUGUCCUCAGAGGGAGGGUUUUGGAAGGUGACUGUAUUAAGCGGGCUUACAGCCCACUUGCUAGUAGGAGGCAGUGGCUGGGGCAGCCUGGAAGGGUGCACCUCCCUCCUAGUCCUCCCUUCUCUCUGCUUCCCGGUAGCCAGGACAGGAGCAGCUUUUCCUCCGCCAUGCUCCUGGCCCCUGCUGUCUUCUGCCUUGGAGCCAGCCAACUUCGGACUGAAGCCAUGAGCCAAAAUAAACCUUUCUACCUUUAACCUGUGGGGCUCUGGUGUUGUCUGAGCAAAGAGAAAGAAAGUUAGAACUCCAUCGUUUGGGGAGAAGCAAAC
rnacentral:lncRNA from 1 species